UACGGGGGGAGCAAGCGUUGUUCGGAUUUACUGGGCGUAAAGGGCGCGUAGGCGGCCUCCGCAAGUCGACUGUGAAAUCUCCGGGCUUAACUCGGAAAGGUCAGCCGAUACUGCGGGGCUAGAGUGCAGAAGGGGCAACUGGAAUUCUCGGUGUAGCGGUGAAAUGCGUAGAUAUCGAGAGGAACACCUGCGGCGAAGGCGGGUUGCUGGGCUGACACUGACGCUGAUGCGCGAAAGCUAGGGGAGCGAACGGG
rnacentral:rRNA from 1 species